rnacentral:rRNA from 1 species
UACGUAGGGUGCAAGCGUUGUCCGGAAUUAUUGGGCGUAAAGAGCUCGUAGGCGGUCUGUCGCGUCGAAUGUGAAAACCCGGGGCUCAACCCCGGGCCUGCAUUCGAUACGGGCAGACUAGAGUUCGGUAGGGGAGUCUGGAAUUCCUGGUGUAGCGGUGAAAUGCGCAGAUAUCAGGAGGAACACCGGUGGCGAAGGCGGGUCUCUGGGCCGAUAUUGACGCUGAGGAGCGAAAGCGUGGGGAGCGAACAGG